AUCCAAUUGACGAGUGCCAAAUAGGACGAAACGCGCGUCCUGGAU
rfam:Schistosoma mansoni strain Puerto Rico chromosome 1, complete genome